GACGAACGCUGGCGGCGUGCUUAACACAUGCAAGUCGAGCGGUAAGGCCCUUUCGGGGGUACACGAGCGGCGAACGGGUGAGUAACACGUGGGUGACCUGCCCUCAGCUCUGGGAUAAGCCUGGGAAACCGGGUCUAAUACCGGAUAUGACUCCAUGACGCAUGUUGUGGGGUGGAAAGCCUUGUGCGGCUGAGGAUGGGCCCGCGGCCUAUCAGCUUGUUGGUGGGGUGAUGGCCUACCAAGGCGACGACGGGUAGCCGGCCUGAGAGGGCGACCGGCCACACUGGGACUGAGACACGGCCCAGACUCCUACGGGAGGCAGCAGUGGGGAAUCUUGCGCAAUGGGCGGAAGCCUGACGCAGCGACGCCGCGUGA
rnacentral:rRNA from 1 species